CCGCGAGUAUCUACUACCACCCAGCCUACUGACCGGCACAGCGCGACUCACCGCGAGUAUCUACUACCACCCAGCCUACUGACCGGCACAGCGCGACUCACCGCGAGUAUCUACUGCCACCCAGCCUACUGACCGGCACAGCGCGACUCACAGCGAGUAUCUACCACCCAGCCUACUAACCACCAUACCUGCCACCAUACCUGCCAGAUGAUACGAGUUAAAUUGGUGCCGUGAGUAGGAUCCGGCAAACCUGCACGUCUUCUGGGUCUGUGUUUUCCAGCUUACAAGAGUAGUUACGCGCCUAGUUCCACUACUUCCUCGCCCUCAACUCUACAGCUAUGGCGGAGAUUGCUACAUUGGUGGAACUGAUGCAACAACAGAUGCUGACACAGCAACAGCACCAGAUGAAAGAGCUGGUCGAUCGCCUCGCACAACCCUGUAAAGGAUCCAUUGUCAAGGUUGCAUCUACAUCGGUAAGCAUAUCUAAGUUCACUUUUGAUCCUACCUCAGCCCUGGAAGGAUUAUUUAGCUCGUUUUAGCACGUUCGCACAAGGUAACUCUAACCCUGAAGAAUAGGUUGCUCAAACUACUUCCAUUUACAACUUACUGAGUACAUUGGCUAGUCAAGAGAGUACAUUGGCUAGUCAAGAGAGUACAUUGGCUAGUCAAGAGAGUACAUUGGCUAGUCAAGAGAGUACAUUGGCUAGUCAAGAUGAGUACAUUGGCUAGUCAAGAUGAGUACAUUGGCUAGUCAAGAUGAGUACAUUGGCUAGUCAAGAUGAGUACAUUGGCUAGUCAAGAUGAGUACAUUGGCUAGUCAAGAUGAGUACAUUGGCUAGUCAAGAUGAGUACAUUGGCUAGUCAAGAUGAGUACAUUGGCUAGUCAAGAUGAGUACAUUGGCUAGUCAAGAUGAGUACAUUGGCUAGUCAAGAUGAGUACAUUGGCUAGUCAAGAUGAGUACAUUGGCUAGUCAAGAUGAGUACAUUGGCUAGUCAAGAUGAGUACAUUGGCUAGUCAAGAUGAGUACAUUGGCUAGUCAAGAUGAGUACAUUGGCUAGUCAAGAUGAGUACAUUGGCUAGUCAAGAUGAGUACAUUGGCUAGUCAAGAUGAGUACAUUGGCUAGUCAAGAUGAGUACAUUGGCUAGUCAAGAUGAGUACAUUGGCUAGUCAAGAUGAGUACAUUGGCUAGUCAAGAUGAGUACAUUGGCUAGUCAAGAUGAGUACAUUGGCUAGUCAAGAUGAGUACAUUGGCUAGUCAAGAUGAGUACGUUGGCUUAAAAGGACUCUAGUGGUGAUCCCGUUAUGGAACAGUUAAUUGGAUGGGAGGAUAUUCGCUUUUGAAGUGGAUAGCGGAGUGAAGGACGACUUCUGUUCUACAGGUAUUUGGUCAAGUCUGGGCAAACCUACACUACACCCUGCUCAGGUUUCUCUGCUACAGGAAUGAUUUACUAGUUUUGGGUACCUUUACAAUAAGGCUCCUUUGGGGGAUUCUACAACAAGAGACCGACAUAACAUUUAAUGUCUCCACUCUCCUGUGUCUUGAUCUGCUAGGUCGAACUGCAAUACGCAAGAUGGACAUCGACGUACGGGCGUUGAUGUGCGAGGCCUGCCACAAAACGCCCAGCAACAACGUGCAUGUCGUCCUGGACGACGAGUCUCCCGACCACGUGUUCCAGAAGGCUUGUCAGGUGUGCAACGAGUUUCCUAGUUUGUUUUUGCCAGAGUUGGAAGUUGCAUUCACGCUGGAUACACAACCAAUCUUCUGUAAACCAAGGACCGUUCCAUUCACUGUUCUGGAGGAUCUCCACACUGUGUACGACGCUGGCAUCAGGAAGGGCGUGCGGAUACCUACACAGUACAAUGAAUACGGGAUCCCUGUAGUGCCAGUGAUCAAGAUUACUUCACCAGGACAACAAAGCUACGGGUAUGUGGUGACUAUUCUGUAACCAUUAAUCAGCAUCUGCAAACAGACACCCUAUACCGUUGCCGGAGGAAUUGAUGCGUAAACUUGGUGGGGGUUACUACAAGUUUGAUGUAGCAGAUGCCUACAGCCAGAUCAAGCUGGGACCUGAGAGCCAGAAAGAGUUGGGCCUCUGUAUACAUCAGGGCGUCUUGCUUCAAACUCGUCUACCAUUCGGGAUAUCAUCUGCGCCAGGAUACUUUCAAGAGAUCAUGGAUCAGCUCACCAGUGGUCUGCGAGGAGUAGCGGUCUACUUGGACGAUGUUUUGGUAAGCGGUUCGAAUGUAGAGGAGCAUUUACAGAACCUUCGUGCUCUUCUCCCUGCACAGAAGGGCUUAUGCUGCAACCUUGACAAGGGCUUAUGCUGCAACCACUGGUGGACUACCUGGGUCAUACACUUAACGGCAUAUCCAAGGGACGCAAGGUUGAUGCAGUCAAAAUGCCACCACUUACCGAAGUCUCUACUUUACGCUCGUUUCUUGGCUCUGGACAGUUUUACAGCAAAUUCAUGCCUAAUCUUUCUACGUUAACAGAGCCACUGACCCGCCUCACCAGGAAGGGAACUCCAUGGAAGUGGGACAAUGAAGAGCAGGCAGCGUUCCAGCGUCUACAAGACCUUCUUUGCACGGACGCUGUUCUUGCUCACUUCGAUCCAAAUCUGCAGAUUGGCAUCUCGUGCGACGCUUCAGAAGUUGGGAUUAGGGUAGUACUGUUUCGGCGUUACGCCGAUGGUGCCGAACGCCCCAGGUUGUCUAUGGUAUUCAGAAAUUCCAUUCAGUUCAUCUAUGGAGGAAUUUCGUUCUUAUAGUUGUCUAUGGUCUUCAGAAAUUCCAUUCAGUUCAUCUAUGGAGGAAUUUCAUUCUUAUAACAGAUCACAAGCCAUAAGUCUCUUUUCAGUCCUACGAAGGGUACCCCUGUUCUUGCUGCAAACAGGAUUGCACAAUGGGCCCUCACUCUCAGCCAGUACGACUACACCAUCGAGUAUAGGAAAACGGGUGAACAUGGGAACGCGGACGCUCUCGGCCGUCUUCCUGCGAAGACGUCAAUUUUGACAGGGAGAAGCAAGUAGAUGUAUUACUGUCUGCACUAUUCAAACCGUUAGCCUUAGUUGAACCCUACAGAUGCAGGUAUGUUGGCUAAAGCAUCCAGGGAGGAUCCAGUUGUCUCCAGUUUCAUUUCAAACAAGCCAUUUAACUGACGUCACAAGGGUAUUCAACGAGAUGCAUGCGUGGCUAGUCACCUGUCUUGUUUGCUGUAGGCUCCCACCUAGUCCAAAUCUUCCCUCUGCUCUGCUCAGUCUGCUGCUGGCUUCUCUGAGGAGUUGCUCUGACUACCGCUUUGUCCUGUCAUGGCGGACCACCUAGGCCAGUGUCAGGAAACGCCGAGGCGUUCCUCUUCCUCUUCCUCGUCCGUAGACAAGAAACGGCAGAGACGUAAGGAUAACGUGCCUCGUGGAGAAGUUAAGAAAAGGAAGAAGAACGCUGGCUCCACACCUCAGCAACGUGAUGACGCUGUUGCGGGUCCCAGUGGUCAUAACGUAAACAGUGCCGCCGGGGACGCAAAUUAUGAACGCAGGAGCUGCUUGUUGGGCAGUUUAAUAGAAAAACUUUGACAAGAAGGCACACACCGUGCGUAACUUGUUAUUCGGAGCUCCGAGGUUUCACGAGGAAAGCGGCGCGAACCCAGCGGAGGUGUUGCCGUGCAGGAGGGAGAAGCGGAAACCAGACCGUCACCGCAAGGGUCUACUACCACCCAGCCUACUAACCACUAUACCUGCCAGAAGAUACAACAGGAUAAAUUGACGCAGUGAUUAGGAUCCGUCAAACCUGCACGUCUUCUGGCUCUUCAGUGUUUUCCAGCUUACAAGAGUAGUUACGCACCUAGUUCCACUACUUCCUCGCCCUCAACUCUACAACUAUAGCAGAGAUUGUUACAUUAGUGGAACUGAUGCAACAGCAGAUGAAAGAUCUGGUCGAUUGCCUCGCACCACCCUGUGAAGGAUCCACUCUUAAGGUUGCUUCUACACCGGUAAGCAUAGCGAAGUUCACUUUUGAUCCUACCUCAGCUCUGGAAGGAUUAUUUAAAUCGUUUUGGCACAUUCACACAAGCUGACUCUAUCCCACCACACCUCGUCCACGUGAUGACGUCCCACCCCCAGCUGUUGCGGGUCCCAGUGGUCAUAACGUAAACAGUGCCGCCGGGGACGCAAAUUAUGAACGCUGGAGCUGCCUGUUGGGCAGUUUAAUAGAAAAACUGACAAGAAGGCACACACCGUGCGUAACUUAUUAUUCGGAGCUUCGAGGUUUCACGAGGAAAGCGGCGUGAACCCAGCGGAGGUGUUGUGCAGGAGGGAGAAGCGGAAACCAGACCGUCACCGCAAGGGUCUACUACCACCCAGCAUACUAACCACUAUACCUGCUACUUCUCUGAUUCCAGAAGAUACAACAGGAUAAAUUGACGCAGUGAGUAGGAUCCGUCAAACCUGCACGUCUUCUGGCUCUUCAGUGUUUUCCAGCUUACAAGAGUAGUUACGCGCCAAGUUCCACUACUUCCUCGUCCUCAACUCUACAACUAUGGCGGAGAUUGCUACAUUAGUGGAACUGAUGCAAUAGCAGAUGGUGAUACAGCAGCAGCAGAUGAAAGAGCUGGUCGAUUGCCUCGCACCACCCUGUGAAGGAUCCACUCUUAAGGUUGCUCCUACGACGCAACGUGAUGACGUCCCACCCCCAGCUGUUGUGGGUCCCAGUGGUCAUAACGUAAACAGUGCCGCCGGGGACGCAAAUUAUGAACGCUGGAGCUGCCUGUUGGGCAGUUUAAUAGAAAAACUUUGACAAGAAGGCACACACCGUGCGUAACUUGUUAUUCGGAGCUUCGAGGUUUCACGAGGAAAGUGGCGUGAACCCAGCGGAGGUGUUGUCGUGCAGGAGGGAGAAGCGGAAACCAGACCGUCACCGCAAGGGUCUACUACCACCCAGCCUACUAACCACUAUAGCUGCUAUUUCUCUGAUUCCAGAAGAUACAACAGGAUGAAUUGAUGCAGUGAGUGGGAUCCGUCAAACCUGCACGUCUUCUGGCUCUUCAGUGUUUUCCAGCUUACAAGAAUAGUUACGAGCCUAGUUCCACUACUUCCUCGCCCUCAACUCUACAACUAGAGCUGGUCGAUUGCCUUGCACCACCCUGUGAAGGAUCCACUCUUAAGGUUGCUUCUACACCGGUAUGGUGCUGUCAAUGAGGUGCUGUACAUCUUGCUGGAGCGCCGUACCAUCCUGCUACAAACGGUGCUGCAGAACGGCUGGGGCAGUCGUUCAAGCAGUCUUUGAGGAAAUCACCACUGUUGCCAAAGGCUGCACUACAGGAAUUCCUGCUACAGUACCGACGUACACCUUUGGAUUCCGGAUAUUCUCCUAGUGAACUGUUCAACGGUCAGCAGAUUAGGUGCAAGUUAGACGCGCUCCUUCCUGCUCAUGUUGCCCAAGGACGACAAGCCAAGAGAGCUGUAAUGUCACAAAGGGAGGAACUUGACCACCGAGAAUUCAAGUUGGUACAUUCAUAUUUAGUUGGUACCCCCUGUUAUGCUGUGGUUACUAAGGUUUUUGGGUAAGGAUUGUUAACGUUCACUUCAUUAUUCCAGACCUAACUACACUUCUGUUAAUUACAGCUUGCUGUUUUCUCCACGUCGCUAUGACACGAAAGCGCACACCGGAGCUCCGAGGUUUCACGAGGAUAGUGGGCACAGCGCGGCUCACCGCGAGGUUCUACUACCAUCCAGCCUAACCACCCUACCCUACCCUACCCUACCCUACCCUACCUGCCACCAUACUUGAUACUUAUCUGGUUGUAUAUAUUGUACAUAAUUAAUGCUGCAUUGUUUCCAAUACAGCGUAGAUAAGAAACGGUGACCAAUGUUAUAUCGUACAUAAUUAAUGCUGCAUUGUUUCCAGUAUGGUACAAGUUGGAAUACAACAUGUAGAUAGAGCGAGGAUAAGAAACGGUGACCAAUGUAAAAGAAUGUAGACAGAGUGAAUGGUGAAAAAUACUGAUGGACCAAUGCAAAAGGAAAGGCAUGAAAAAAAAAGUAUUCUAAAAGAUAGAGAAAGAUAUGUACGGAUGAUAUAAGACUAUGAAGGAUGAAUAAAAAAAAUAAUCAACACGAGAAAAAAAUUGAAAAAAAAAGUAUUCUAAAAGAUAGAGAAAGAUAUGUACGGAUGAUAUAAGACUAUGAAGGAUGAAUAAAAAAAAUAAUCAACACGAGAAAAAAUAAAGAUACAACAUAGUAGAGUUGAGAAAUUAACUUGGGCAGAAGAAGAGACUUGUGUAUGCGUAUCCGUUAGAGACUUGCAGUUACCAAGGUAUAUAGGUUGAUUAAAUUAACCAUAUAAGAGGGAAGCAUAACUAGAAAAAGAAUGUUGAUUUGUCAACGUCCAACAGAGGAGGAAGACCAGAGCCUAUUGAUAUAGCUGUCACAAUGCCUUUGGAGCACAAGCAAACAAUUCCAGCACAUAACGGGACGCACUGCCUUGUUACUCAAAAGCCUUUGUGUCUCGUGGCCCUGCUCAUGCCGUGUAUCAGCCAUCAGGUAGCCAGCAGAAGAGACACAAUACCCAACGACCCACCCAUCCUCCACUCACUAAGGACGCGUAUUGUCACAAGCUGGUGUGUCAGGAUAUGUAAAGGCAAAGCAUCCUGACUUUCUGCUGGUUUCGCUUCGAAGUUCCGUUCUCUCUCUCUCUCUCUCUCUCUCUCUCUCUCUCUCUCUCUCUCUCUCAAUUAAUUUUCUAUGCACUUUUUUCUACUGCAGUAUCUCUAAAUUGUUCUGUAGUUUACCUUAGUAAACCUGACACUUAAACAUUCCUACCAGACCAGAGGGUGACACAAAACAGACACUAUAAAAAGUGUGACGUUCCUCGACUUUAUUCUGACCAUGACUGUCCCAUUCGUUCCUGCUACACCUCAAAACCAGAUGGGAGAAAGACAUCAUUGUCCUCUGCAAACUUUAGUCACACAAAGUCCCGUUUUCCUUGGCGCUUAGAGAAAACGUGGCCAAUGCUGUAACCAUGGAAACGGUAAACACGGACGGUGCUCGAGGCUGACCACCACGACCAAACAUGCAUCUCAAGCGAAUAUAUCUACGUUACUAUCCCCCAGGUUUGACUUUCGAGAUGAUAGACGGUCAAGUUUCAUCAUGGCGGGAGAUUCAACUUCUCGACCUCAAACACGAUUCCCAGGUGAGCGCCGUGGUGGAGGAGGUGGUGCAGCAGGAGCGAGCAGCAGCAGGCCAGCGAGCCAGACUGCACCGCCUGGUAAGUCGCCUGCUACUUGCCCUGCGCACGGACGCCACCCGCACCCUCACGCGCCACAGGACCCUCAGGGCACACAUCUUACCCCUCACCAACGUGACACUCAACAAGACGGCGACUUUAUGCGCCACCGCUAGUUACGAUCGGCAGUGCAGAUUGUGGCGGAUUAAGGACGGCGCCUCGGAGACUACACUCAAAGGGCACCAGGACGUGGUCUUUGAUGUGACGUUUGUCGGCAAGUACGAUGAGCUAGUGGCGACCUGCAGCUUUGAUGGCACGGUGAGGGUAUGGGAGUCCGUGUCCGGGGCGUGUGAGCUGGUGAUGGCAGGCCACGAAGGCCCCGUGGCCGUGGUGACGCCUCUGCCAGCCUCCAAACAGUUCCUGGCCACUGGGGGAAUGGAUACCUCGGCCAGAGUGUGGGACAUCACCAUGGGGGAGUGCGCGGCAGUACUCGAGGGUCACUCUGGGGCGGUGGUGGGCGUGGGAGGCGACAGGUCAGGCAAUCUCUUGUACUCCGCAUCCUUCGACGGUACGGUCAGGCUUUGGGACGGCCGCUCCCACGAGUGUAGCGGCACCCUAAUGGACCAUGAAGGGGAAGUCAACGGAGCAGGACUCAGCUGGUGCGGUCACUUUCUCGCUUCUUGGGCCACUGACGCCUCUGCCCGUGUGUGGGACUUGCGCCACACCUCCAAACCAAUCCACGUCAUGCUUCAUGAUGCUGAGGUGGUGAGCGGUGCAUGGGACAACUGUGGCAGGCAGCUGGUGACAGGCGGCGUGGAUAGGACUGCCAGAGUGCUGCACGUGCCAUCCCUCACUGAGACAGUUGAACUUGAGGGUCACGGAGGGGAAGUAUCAAAGGUCAGCUUCAGUCCUUCUGGGAGCCGCGUCUUCACGGCUGGGGAGGACGGCCACCUCAGGAUCUGGGACGCCACCACUGGCCACUGCCUCCAGGAGGAGCGAGGCCAUACCAGCGAGAUAUUCUCCAUGGCAGUGAGCUACGAGGGAGACGUGCUGGUGACGGGCAGCAGGGACAGCACGUGCGUGGUCUGGAAGCACCGUGCUGCUGAGGGAACCUAGUGCGGUGCUCACAUGUUGUAACAUGGCUUUAGAUCGUCGCUCCAGUUCCUAGCUAGCCUACGGGAAAACAUCCUGCAAGGUUUCAUAUAUGUACAUACUAGAGAUCUUAAGUCCUUUUAGGAAGCCAGUGUUUGGUCUGUGUCUUUACGUCUUCAGUCGCCAAGAUGUGCAAGACAUCACUCCUGACGCGUUCGUUGCACUCGUCCACUGAAAAAAAAUCCACCCGUACGGUAAUUUUGAGAGAGAGAGAGAGAGAGAGAGAUUAUCACUAUUAUUACUGUUGUUAUUAUCAUUAGUGUGUGUGUGUGUGUGAGAUUUUCUAAGUCGGUCAGAGAACACAGGAAAUUAAUGAUGAUAAUGUAGGAUGUUCUACCAAUCCGAGAGAUUCUCUUUGAACCUCUCAACCAUAAAAUACGAGUAUUGCCACAGUUUUAAUGUGGAAAAGAGAGAAAAGAAAAGUCAUAUCAGUGUGAUAAGCAUAACAUAAUCACUUUUAUUCACACACACACACACACACACACACACACACACAGAUAGUUUUCAAACAGGGUAAUAAUGAGCUUUGUCUUCAUUGAUACAUAAUUCAGUUUACAAAAACAUAGAUUGCCAAUAAUAUUUCAAAAUAACAAUGUUAGAAUUAAAUGUUAUGACUGUCUUUCCCCACGACCCUCAGUAAAGACGAGGGAAAGCCAUACACCGGCCACAACACCCUGACGAGCAGCGCCCUCACCGUCAGUGUAACAUAAGAGAGGUGUCCAUUCAAUGAUUGUCCUUACAGCUAAAUAUGUAAAUAAAUGAUUUGUAGAAAAAAUAUACGUAGAUACAUCAGUUCAUUCAUAUAUUAUUUUCUCUUAUUAUUAUUCUCUAUCAUUAUUUCUAAAUAUAAAGUGUGUGUGUGUGUGUGUGUGUGUGUGUGUGUGUGUGUGUGUGUGUUUAUAAAACAAGCAGGAAAAAACAAAUCCUAAUUAUCUGUGUACAUAAAAGGUAAUGAUUUUUUAACGAGCUUCAGGGAAAAUAGCUUCCUUGUGUUAAUGUUUUUAAUAUGAAAACUUAAAUUUCAUAAUUACAAACUGAUUAAACAAAGAAGCAUCAUCUGGCACCGCUAUUGUUUUUAACUAUUUUUCUCUCAACUCUCAUAGAUUAAACCGUGAUUUUUCAUACUAUAAAGGCUGAAAAUACACUUUGAUGUUUUAUCUUGUUAUAAGUUGUUGUUGUUGUUGUUGUUGUUGUUGCUGCUGUUGUAUCAUUGCCACUAUUACCCUAAAGCAUGGCUAAACAAGCUGAUCCCAUUACUAUAAUCAUUCCAGAGAGUCAAUUCUAUAGACGGGUAACAUAAGCUUAAGAAUCUCAAAGAAACUUGCAGAUCAGUCUGGAGAUAGAUCAUCUAUCUCCACCACUCGUAUUUCACUCUCAAACUUUUACAACAGACUUCCGUGGCAACGGCUUAAGUUUCACUCCUAAUUGUAAGUAGAAGAGUUGUUGAUCGUUAGUUCUUAAACAUAAACAGUUCUAAGGACGAAGUUUAUCUACAAGUAUGUUGUGAUAAUUUCAAACAAUAAAAAAAUAAAUGUUUACAUUCUCUAGAACACAGGAUAUAUAUAUAUAUAUAUAUAUA